GGUUUUUUGCAAUCCACACGGCACAGAUUUUUUUGAUUAUGUAGAUUUUUUUUUUUUUCCUCCUCUAUUGCAGUUUCAUAUGCAAAGCAUGCAUCAGCCACAUCCAUGCUAUCUCCUAAAGCAGUCAUUCUGAAACCCAAUCUGGGGACAGUGCAGACUAAAUAAAAUUUCAUUUUGAUUUGGCCUCCCGCUGAGAAUGGGACUGCUUUGUUUCAGCCGACAGAAGCAGCAAGCCAGAAAGGUGUUGAAUACACAAAUACUGACUUAACAGAAAAUUAUAAGUAGAGGCAGAAUCAAAGCUUCGCCCAGCAACUACAGAGAAAUCUAAUAUUUCCUGAGUGGGGAGAGAAGAAAGCUUGGAAACUGUAGGAAAACAUGGACCAGAAAAUCAUGUUAUUUCUAACCUAUACACACCACUGGGAUUUCCACCACUGGGAUGACCUUCUCAGAAAAAGCUACACCCAGAUUUUGUUUCAAAAAUACAGGAGCUGCUUCUGACAUAAUUGAUCAAAACUGCUUUUCUUCAGGAAACAGUGCAAAAUGUCUUCUUUUCAAGGCAAAUGAAUUUGGGGACUGGUAAGAGAGAGAAAGGGUGGUUGUGGUAGAGGAAAUAUUUUUAUCCAGGCCUCAGGAAACGGUGGUCUGGCUGCAGUGUUGCAGAUGGUUACAUGAACAGAAUUCUCUCAGCGCAAAGCCUGCCAUGACUUACGUCUGCCCCCAAGCUCCUGGACUGCAAGAACUAAUGCCAAUAUCCACCUGGAAACAUCCAGUCAGGAAGGGCUGGGGAAGCUGCUAGCCUGAAACAACCCUUCAAGCUCAAGUAA
rnacentral:lncRNA from 1 species